rnacentral:lncRNA from 1 species
UCUUCAAUUCAAGAUCGGAGUUAUUGAUCUUUAUCUAUAUAGUGAAUAGAAUUUUCUAUCAAAAGUUCAACAAAUUCCGAUUCUUUUAUACCGUUAAACUAGCACGUAUCCCAUACCGGCCGUUAAAAAUUGUCAAAUUUGUGAUCUCUUGAUCGUAAGGUAAAUGAUGUCGAAAAAUUAUAAAAUUUAAUUUCUAGAAGUUUUAAAUGCUGUAAAUAAUGUUUAACGGUGUGGAUCGUCGAUUCAGAAGCUCUAUCAUCGAAAACAACUUAUGAGUACGAGGGCGAUCGUACUCAUAAUAGUAUAGUAGUCGGACCCUAUAUAUAUAUAUGGAGUUGAGCUAGAAUACUAUCGAUAGCAAACGGGCUCCGUUGCCACCCAUUUGUUUUCAAUGAUGGAGCCUCCAAAUCGACGAUCGGCACCAUUGAACAUGAUCUAUACCACUUGAAGUGUUUAGAAAUCAAAUUUCAUACAUUUUUUAUAUUGUUCUCUUAUCUAUCGAGUGGACACAAAAAUGAACGGCUGAAAACGAAUAUUCUUUAAAAAAUGAUGAUAGGAGUCUUGUAAUCAAGAUCAAGAGUAUAGAUCUUGUUUUAAAUAGUUUAAAAAAAUUUUCUCACAAAAAUUCAAUUGAUUUGGAUAUCUUUACGCCGUUAAAUGAGAAAACGCCUCAUAUAUGUUUGUAUAUACCCUACAAUUAUAAGCAAUUAUGAAAUAGCUUACUCAAUUUUUUUUUUAUGUAUGAAGAGGUCCUUCACUAUAGGCCAUUUAUUAUCUAUAUUUAUCUAUACAUUAUCUAUAUAUUAUUUUUCAUAAAGUUUGCCACGCGGUAAUUCCUCUUUUACCUUAUUUCCCACUCCUUGAUAUUUCGCCUUCCCACCCCACCUCUAGUCGAUACCUUAUCUUUCCACUAGCCUACUUUCUAAUUAAUGUAUCCACAUAAUCUAUUUUUAUGUAAACAAAUCAUUUUAACAAAAAAAGAGUAAAUUAAGUUCUCUUCAUAUUAUUUUUUAUUAUAUAUUUUUUUGCUUUUUUUUGGUGCACAAGAAGGAUUCAUCUUUUAUUUUUUUUAAAAUUUUUUCUCUAUUUUUUUAAAAUUGUAUGGGUAUUGAAAUUAGAGUUCCAAGGAUCAUGGUGGCGUGGCGAGGUGAUGUGGUGAUGGAUUUAGAGUCGAUGAAAGGGAAAAAGCGGUGGGUGUGGGAGAAUCCGUACGACAUCGACUUGGCCGUGAUCAAGGAAAAGCUCGAUGCCGAUGCGAUGGAGGCGACAUGGAGAACAAUAAUCGAAGUAGUAAGUCUACAUUAUUUUCCAUAAAGUUUGUCAUGUGGUAAUUCCUCCUUCACCUCCCUUCCCACUUCUUGAUGUUUCGUCUUUCCAUCCUUGUCUCUAGCCGGUGCUUCGUCUUUCCACCCGCCUACUUUCUAAUUAAUAUAUUCAUGAGAUCUAUUUUUAUCUAAACAAAUCAUUUUAACAAAAAAGAGUAAAAUAAGAUUUCCUCGUACUCUUUCUUAUCAUAUAUUUUUUGCUUUUUUGGUGCACUAGAAGUGUUUAUUUUUUGUGUUUUUCUUAAUUUUUUUCUUAAUUUUUUAAAAUUAUGCAGGUAUUGAAAUUAGAGUUUCGAGGAUCGCACCGGCGCGGCGAGGUGAAGAAGCAGUGGGUGUGGGGGAUCCGUACGACAUCGACACGGCGGUGACUAAGGAGAAUCUUGACGCAGACAAUCACGAUGGAGGCGAUGUGGAAAACAGUAAUCGGAGUUGUAACUCUAUUACUGUUUUCUUUUAUUAUUGUUAUGUGUAAUUUAUUUGUUAUUAUAGGUUUUGCUAUAUUUGUACAUAUUUAUUUUGAUAUUUUUCUAUUUGUAUUUAUUGAUGUCUCAUUACAAGUCAAAAAGUUUUAAAAUUUUAACUUUAUUAAACUUUUAUCUUCUACGGUGCAAUGCGCGGGUAAGUAACUUCACUAGUUUCGAAAUAGGCCCCUCACUUUUUUUUUUUAUUGAGAUCCUCAAAUUUUGUCAUUUUUUAAAUUUAAAUUUUAUAUUACUUAUAUUAAAAAUUUAUCAACUUUAAUAAAUUUAUAUAAUUAUU